ensembl:lncRNA
CCUCCUCCCACCCCUCCGCAUCCGAUUGAAACUCACAGCCGUGAAAGUAGCGCACAAGGUACCGUUCUGAACCCCUUUUUCCAACAAAAUUUAGGUAGCAAAGGGGGUUUUAAAAAUACUUCUGGCUGUAUUUUUCGCUGCGCUGUUCGGUGUCCAGCGAAGCCCUUCGCUAAGUAUUAUUUUUGUAAUCGCUUUUUAUUAUAUGGAGCAGAAAGCGGAGGGGGCAUUUGGAAUAGAGGUGGUCCCAUCUGGAAAAGCCCGCAGCUCAUUUAGAUCGCAUCACUUCGGGCUUUUGUCUCCGCUCCUGAAUAACGCAGCUAGGCACAACAAAAGGGCAGAGAGCUGCGCGGAGUUUUUCCAGCGGGGAGAGGACGCCUCGGGAAGACGCAUAUAACGAUGAUAACGGGGAAAAACGCGAGCUCCUCCCGGCGCUUUUAAUGCACGGGCAGAGUUUGGGGAUGGGGCGUUUUGGGGCCGUUUGCCACCCCUCCGGCUGCUGAAAAUCGGCGCGAGAUGAAGGACGGAGGAAUAAAGAGCAUCUUUUGUCUCUGCUAACUUCCCAGUACACUCCGAGCGGUCAGAACGGAGGUGAAGGCUAAGAAACGAAUUGCCACCGCGCUCACCACUAACAAAGUCUGAAGCACUUUCCCAACCCCUUUCCCAACGCACAGUAAUAAUGAUACAUUUAUCAUUACUGAUGACCACCCACUGCUUUAUUAUUGCUUUGUUGCGACGAUUACAAUCAAGAGAUUUCUUUAUUUACUGUUAACAUUCACUUAAAGCUGAAUGUUAAUGACUCUUCUGAAUUCACCAAAGAGUUGUCGGGUAUAUUUUAGGAGUAGUUACGGUUCGGAUUUCAGAAAUGGUGUAAAAAAGAUGCGGAAAGGCUGAGUGGUGCUUUGCUUUUUUAAUUAUUAUUGUUAUUUCUAACUCUUUGCUCUUCUUUCUGAGUCGGAUUUCCAACAAAGAGUUGCAAAAGGCUUUGGCAUAAUGCACGCACUUGCCUGUAGCUAAUUACGCGAGUAUUUUAUUACAGGAGAUUCA